AUUGAGCAGUUACCGGACCUGCACAACCAUUUUUCUGAUCUGAACCUAGAAGCUCAUAUGUACGCAUCCCAGUGGUUUCUCACUCUCUUUACUGCCAAGUUCCCACUCUGCAUGGUCUUCCACAUCAUUGACUUACUGCUUUCUGAGGGUUUGAACAUAAUCUUUCAUGUAGCCUUGGCUCUCCUAAAGACCUCAAAGGAAGAUCUUCUGCAGGCUGAUUUUGAAGGCGCCUUAAAGUUCUUCAGAGUCCAGCUUCCAAAGAGAUACAGGGCAGAGGAAAAUGCAAGAAGGCUAAUGGAGCAGGCUUGCAACAUUAAGGUACCGACCAAGAAGCUAAAGAAAUAUGAGAAAGAAUAUCAGACAAUGCGAGAGAGUCAGCUGCAGCAGGAAGACCCAAUGGAUAGAUACAAGAGGGAGAACCGGAGACUACAGGAGGCCAGCAUGAGGUUGGAACAAGAGAAUGAUGACCUUGCUCAUGAACUAGUAACCAGCAAGAUUGCUCUGCGGAAUGACUUGGAUCAAGCAGAAGACAAGGCAGACGUGCUGAAUAAAGAGCUUCUUUUGACCAAGCAGAGGCUAGUGGAGACCGAAGAAGAGAAGAGGAAGCAGGAGGAAGAGACGGCCCAGCUAAAAGAAGUCUUCAGGAAACAGCUAGAGAAGGCGGAAUAUGAAAUCAAGAAGACUACAGCUAUCAUUGCCGAGUAUAAACAGAUCUGUUCCCAGUUGAGUACCCGGCUGGAGAAACAGCAAGCAGCCAGCAAGGAGGAGCUGGAAGUGGUAAAGGGUAAGAUGAUGGCAUGUAAACACUGCAGUGACAUUUUCAGCAAGGAGGGCGCUUUGAAAGUAGCGGCCAUAAGCAGAGAGGACCAGGGGAUUGAAUCGGAUGAUGAGAAGGACUCUCUUAAGAAGCAACUGAGGGAGAUGGAGCUGGAAUUGGCACAAACCAAACUGCAGCUGGUGGAGGCCAAGUGUAAAAUCCAGGAACUUGAACAUCAGAGAGGAGCCCUUAUGAAUGAAAUCCAAGCUGCAAAAAACUCUUGGUUUAGCAAAACCCUGAACUCUAUCAAAACGGCCACGGGCACGCAGCCGCUGCAGCCACCACAGGCCACCCAGCCCCCCAAGGAGAGCACAUAGUUCCAGCCUCACCCAAGCACAGGAGCACAACGAUCAAAGCGACGGAAACCCAGGAAGAGUCCUGGUGUCCCUUUGAAAGGAAGGGAAGGAGGCCAGAAAGCAAGCCAGGAUCUUUCAGUAGCUCUCAAUCUUUCUCGUAUGACGCUUUUCAAAGGGAUGUUAUUUAAACUAACCUGAUUUAUGUUGAAUACCUGUGUUUGUGCUUCAUGGAAGGCCGUGUUCCGAUCCGUCAUAGUAUUAUUACACAUUAUUUUAUAUGCCUGAUGUCUGGUUGGAAACAAGUAAUUCAGAGCUAAAUGCUUUUUAUUUAGAACUAAUUAUUCAUAAUUAUUUUUAUCUUACAUGAAAAUGGAGAUGUGUUUUAUUCCAAGGUUGAAUUGAUAGGAAGAUAUUUGUCACAGCAAA
rnacentral:lncRNA from 1 species